rnacentral:rRNA from 1 species
UACGGAGGGAGCUAGCGUUGUUCGGAAUUACUGGGCGUAAAGCGCACGUAGGCGGCUUUGUAAGUUAGAGGUGAAAGCCCGGGGCUCAACUCCGGAACUGCCUUUAAGACUGCAUCGCUUGAAUCCAGGAGAGGUGGGUGGAAUUCCGAGUGUAGAGGUGAAAUUCGUAGAUAUUCGGAAGAACACCAGUGGCGAAGGCGGCUCACUGGACUGGUACUGACGCUGAGGCGCGAAAGCGUGGGGAGCAAACGGG